AAGGGAUUUUCUCCCGGAUUAUAAGGCGGGGACGGGUGAUAACCCUGUGGUAACCUCGCUGAAAAGUUGGGUAAAUCCGGGAAACCGGGGUUUAUACCCGGGAUUGUCUCUUGAACCCCCAGUGUCAAAGGGUAAAAACGGUUUUGGGUGUCAAUUACAAGAUGGCCCCGGGGCGCUUUAGCUAGUGUGUGAGGUAACGGCUUCACCAAGGCGAACGAUGCGUAGCCGACCUGAGAGGGUGAUCGGCCACACUGGGACUGAGACACGGCCCAGAUUCCUACGGGAGGCAGCAGUAGGGAAUCUUCCGCAAUGGACGAAAGUCUGACGGAGCAACGCCGCGUGAGUGAUGAAGGUUUUCGGAUCGUAAAGCUCUGUUGUUAGGGAAGAACAAGUGCAAGAGUAACUGCUUGCACCUUGACGGUACCUAACCAGAAAGCCACGGCUAACUACGUGCCAGCAGCCGCGGUAAUACGUAGGUGGCAAGCGUUGUCCGGAAUUAUUGGGCGUAAAGGGCUCGCAGGCGGUUUCUUAAGUCUGAUGUGAAAGCCCCCGGCUCAACCGGGGAGGGUCAUUGGAAACUGGGAAACUUGAGUGCAGAAGAGGAGAGUGGAAUUCCACGUGUAGCGGUGAAAUGCGUAGAGAUGUGGAGGAACACCAGUGGCGAAGGCGACUCUCUGGUCUGUAACUGACGCUGAGGAGCGAAAGCGUGGGGAGCGAACAGGAUUAGAUACCCUGGUAGUCCACGCCGUAAACGAUGAGUGCUAAGUGUUAGGGGGUUUCCGCCCCUUAGUGCUGCAGCUAACGCAUUAAGCACUCCGCCUGGGGAGUACGGUCGCAAGACUGAAACUCAAAGGAAUUGACGGGGGCCCGCACAAGCGGUGGAGCAUGUGGUUUAAUUCGAAGCAACGCGAAGAACCUUACCAGGUCUUGACAUCCUCUGACAACCCUAGAGAUAGGGCUUUCCCUUCGGGGACAGAGUGACAGGUGGUGCAUGGUUGUCGUCAGCUCGUGUCGUGAGAUGUUGGGUUAAGUCCCGCAACGAGCGCAACCCUUGAUCUUAGUUGCCAGCAUUCAGUUGGGCACUCUAAGGUGACUGCCGGUGACAAACCGGAGGAAGGUGGGGAUGACGUCAAAUCAUCAUGCCCCUUAUGACCUGGGCUACACACGUGCUACAAUGGACAGAACAAAGGGCUGCGAGACCGCAAGGUUUAGCCAAUCCCACAAAUCUGUUCUCAGUUCGGAUCGCAGUCUGCAACUCGACUGCGUGAAGCUGGAAUCGCUAGUAAUCGCGGAUCAGCAUGCCGCGGUGAAUACGUUCCCGGGCCUUGUACACACCGCCCGUCACACCACGAGAGUUUGCAACACCCGAAGUCGCCGAGGUAACCUAAGUCG
rnacentral:rRNA from 1 species